ensembl:lncRNA
GCGGGAAAUAUGUGGCUCCUGAAAUGCAGUACUAAAUAAAAAAGAUCUGUUAUCUCUUAUGUUUGUAUAUGCAAAUGUAUGCAACUGUAUACACUACAGUUCAAAAGUUUGGGUUAUUUAUUUAUUUGUUAGUUUAUUUACUUGCACAGGAAAAUAUGAUUUAAAGUGCUUUGGAGAUAUAUAGCAAGAUUGUAAGGUUAAAAUAGGCCUAUAUAUUAUCAUUUUAAUUUGUUAAUACAUUAGGCAUAAUGAACCUCAGAGAUAUUGAAAGUUACCUGUAAAAACAUUUAUUCAUCCAGUGUGUAGUCAUAAUCUGGACAUACAGUAAUACCUUUUUAACAUUUCAAGUUGAAUAAAUUAAAAGUAAUGUAUUAUGAACAAACAUAAAUUAACAAUUAAAGGGGUAGUUUUAAAAUGAAACUGAAACACUAAAAUGAAAAUUUUGUCACUAUGAGUUUCUUCUGUUGAGCACAAAAUAAGAUAUUUUGAGGAAUACUAUGGAAGUCAAUGGCUACCAUUAACUUUUUGGUUAGCAACAUUCUUCAAAGUUAAAAAAAAAAAAACAUCAAGUUUUGGAACAACUUGAGGGUGAAUAAAUGAUGACAAUUUUUCUUGAGGGGUAAUAUCCUUUUAACAGUCCUCCUUAUAUUGAAUAUAUUUACAAAUAUACAUAUGGAUAUAAUUAGAAAUAAUUAAUGUUUUCCAUCAUGAUACCUUAUUCAUUAACUAAUGUUAACGAAUUGAAUCUUGAACCUAAUCUAAAGUGUUAACGUUCUCACUUUCUAUAUCUGAGUGAGAUCUGGUAUAAACUGUGAAUGCAGAAAAAGAAAAAAAAAAAAGAUGGAGAGAGGUGCAAAUAAUAAUCACAAAAUACAUAAAUGAAGAUGCCUGAAUUUACUUCCACUGACCUUUUGCUGUGACUUGCUAAACUCAGAUAAAUGUUUGCCCAUUCACCCUGCCACUGUAAAUGAGGAAUCAUAUGAGACCUUUCUAGUAAUCACUUGGCUGUUGAUGCAGAGAGGAAUGCAAAGAUGCUGUAGCCUUUUCUGAUGGCUUAGACCAAAAUAAAAGCUUUUUAUACAAUUAAAUGUGUUAUAUUUGCAAAAUAAGCAUACAAAGUUUCUGCCGCUGGGUAUGUGAAAAAAGGACAUUAUUCUAGUGACUAUUUGGUUUUCAUCAACAGAAAUGUCAUAGAUUGGACAGUCUUUCUUUUGAUGCCAGCAGUGAUCCAGAGACAAUGUAAUAUUCAAAUGUUUUUGAGCUUGUACAAGGCAAAUCUAAUAUCAGCAGUUUUUUUCUUUUCUUUUUUUUUAUGAAAUGGUGGGACCUAUUUAAAUCACAGGACUCUAUGCCUCCCAUGGGGUCAAAAACCAAUUAGGACAAAUUGGAGAAUGGAUUUUAGCAUGAAUGCUUAGCUGGGCCAUACUGAGGUCAAGAAAGGGCCUGUCAUGUUUGGGGUUGCCCUCACAGGCUGUCCAAGCUGCCCACUGAUGGAGCUCUGUGACUGGAUUUAGUGCGAUGAGGCAGCUGGGUCCAAGUCUUGAGCAGGUGGUUAUGAUGGACUCGUCUGUGUGUACAGGUGGCCCCGUAGACAUGAGCAGGUAAGCUUGCACGUCAGCCAAUCAGAGGUCAGUGCACAGACAGAAGGAGGGGUCAAAGAUUAUGAAAACGUCAUCCGGCUUCUUAUAAGUGACACAUGGACAAGGUGGCCUAGAUCUGAGCAACACUUUCUAUGUAACUAAAUGGAGAUCCUGGCUUAAAAUUACAUUAAAUUCCCUUUUUGUAUGUACUUUGAGGGCUUUUUAACAGCC